rnacentral:rRNA from 1 species
GCUCGUCGCAUCCUGGGGCUGGAGAAGGUCCCAAGGGUAUGGCUGUUCGCCAUUUAAAGCGGUACGCGAGCUGGGUUCAGAACGUCGUGAGACAGUUUGGCCCCUAUCUGCUGUAGGCGUUUAGGAAUUUGAGAAGAUCUGCUCCUAGUACGAGAGGACCGGAGUGGACGAACCUCUGGUGUAUCGGUUGUCAUGUCUAAUGGCACUGCCGAGUAGCUAAGUUCGGAAGGGAUAACCACUGAAAGCAUCUAAGUGGGAAGCCUACUUCAAGAUUAGAUUCCUCUAGCCUUGAGCUAAUAAGUCCCCAUGGAGACUACAUGGUUGAUAGGUUGUAAGUGUAAGUGUAGCGAUACACUCAGCUGAGCAAUACUAAUCGGACGAAUGGAUUUUAAUAUUUUUUU